UUCAAGGAUGUUUCCUGACACGUUGGGAAACGCCGAAAUAAGUCCUNUGUUGGAUCAGCACAGGCGCAGCGACCUUUGAUGCUUCGGCUCGGGCGCCGUCAACAUAUCCCUUCCUGUAAUGAUUUGGGCUAGUAGCUCAGUUGGUUAGAGCACACGCUUGAUAAGCGUGGGGUCGGAGGUUCAAGUCCUCCCUGGCCCACCACGAGCGUGGUGGCGAGGCCCCGUGUGAAGUGUUGUGUGUGUUUCUGGCAAUUUGGGUUGUGGUCCUUAUGGGGGCAUAGCUCAGCUGGGAGAGCACCUGCUUUGCAAGCAGGGGGUCGUCGGUUCGAACCCGUCUGCCUCCACCAAGGUCUGGCCUUUGGCCGUGUCUGGUGUCGAGGGCAUUGGGGAUAUCAUUACAGGAUUCGGGAUUGGUGUUCCGGCCGCAUCCUCUGGGGUGACGGUUCGGUAGAUGUUGGUUCUUUGUCAGUGUGAAUAGGUUGGUGCGUUUCUGUGCGUGCCGCAGCUGGGUUGGUCUGACCCUUUGGUCUGCCGGGAGUGAUCCUGGGCAGGACAAUGUUAAGGCUGCGGGGUUUGCGGACAGAAACGUUUGAGAGAAAUGUUGCGUGUUUGGCACUGCAUUUUCUCCGCUAGAGAGAGCGCAUGAAAGCGUCCUUGGGGUUUCGGCCCUGAGGGUCUUGCGUGGGUGAUUUCUGUGCGUGUGUGGUGUGAGCACGAUAAGGGCAUU
rnacentral:tRNA from 1 species